rnacentral:rRNA from 1 species
AACGUAGGAGACAAACGUUAUCCGGAGUUAUUGGGCGUAAAGAGCUCGUAGGCGGUUUGUCGCGUCUGCUGUGAAAACCCGGGGCUCAACCUCGGGCCUGCAGUGGGUACGGGCAGACUAGAGUGCGGUAGGGGAGAUUGGAAUUCCUGGUGUAGCGGUGGAAUGCGCAGAUAUCAGGAGGAACACCGAUGGCGAAGGCAGAUCUCUGGGCCGUAACUGACGCUGAGGAGCGAAAGCGUGGGGAGCGAACAGG